GACGAACGCUGGCGGCGUGCCUAAUACAUGCAAGUAGAACGCACAGUUUAUACCGUAGCUUGCUACACCAUAGACUGUGAGUUGCGAACGGGUGAGUAACGCGUAGGUAACCUGCCUGGUAGCGGGGGAUAACUAUUGGAAACGAUAGCUAAUACCGCAUACUAUUGAUUAUUGCAUGAUAAUUGAUUGAAAGUUGCUAUUGCAUCACUACCAGAUGGACCUGCGUUGUAUUAGCUAGUAGGUGAGGUAACGGCUCACCUAGGCGGGGAAACAUAGCCGACCGGCGAGGGUGGUCGGCCACACUGGGACGGAGACAGGGCCCAGACUGCUAGAGGAGGCAGCAGUAGGGAAUCGUCGGCAAUGGACGAAAGACUGACCGAGCAACGCCGCGUGAGUGAAGAAGGUUGUCGGAUCGUAAAGCUCGGUUGUAGGAGAAGAACGGGUGUGAGAGUGGAAAGUUCACACUGUGACGGUAUCUGACCAGAAAGGGACGGCUAACUACGUG
rnacentral:rRNA from 1 species